CGCGGCCUAUCAGCUUGUUGGUGGGGUGAUGGCCUACCAAGGCGUUGACGGGUAGCCGGCCUGAGAGGGCGGUCGGUCACAUUGGGACUGAGACACGGCCCAGACUCCUACGGGAGGCAGCAGUGGGGAAUAUUGCACAACGGGCGAAAGCCUGAUGCAGCGACGCCGCGUGGGGGAUGACGGUCUUCGGAUUGUAAACCCCUUUCAGUAGGGACGAAGCGCAAGUGACGGUACCUGCAGAAGAAGCACCGGCUAACUACGUGCCAGCAGCCGCGGUAAUACGUAGGGUGCGAGCGUUGUCCGGAAUUACUGGGCGUAAAGAGCUCGUAGGCGGUUUGUCACGUCGUCUGUGAAAUCCCUCGGCUUAACCGGGAGCGUGCAGGCGAUACGGGCAGACUUGAGUACUACAGGGGAAACUGGAAUUCUACGUGUAGCGGUGAAAUGCGCAGAUAUGUGGAGGAACACCGGUGGCGAAGGCGGGUUUCUGGGCUUGUUCUGACGCUGAGGAGCGAAAGCGUGGGGAGCGAACAGGAUUAGAUACCCUGGUAGUCCAUGCUGUAAACGGUGGGCGCUAGGUGUGGGGCCACGUUGGUUGGUUCUGUGCCGUAGCUAACGCAUUAAGCGCCCCGCCUGGGGAGUACGG
rnacentral:rRNA from 1 species